rnacentral:tRNA from 1 species
GUGGAUGUAGCUCAGUCGGUAAGAGCACCAGGUUGUGGCCCUGGGGGUCGAGGGUUCGAGUCCCUUCAUCCACCCCA